rnacentral:rRNA from 1 species
UGCGUAGGUGGUAUGGCAAGUCAGAAGUGAAAACCCAGGGCUUAACUCUGGGACUGCUUUUGAAACUGUCAGGCUAGAGUGCAGGAGAGGUAAGCGGAAUUCCUAGUGUAGCGGUGAAAUGCGUAGAUAUUAGGAGGAACAUCAGUGGCGAAGGCGGCUUACUGGACUGAAACUGACACUGAGGCACGAAAGCGUGGGGAGCAAACA